UACGUAGGGGGCUAGCGUUGUCCGGAUUUAUUGGGCGUAAAGAGCGUGCAGGCGGCCAGGUAGGUCUGCUGUGAAAACUCGAGGCUUAACCUCGAGAUGUCGGCGGAAACCAUCUGGCUAGAGUCCGGAAGAGGAGAGUGGAAUUCCUGGUGUAGCGGUGAAAUGCGCAGAUAUCAGGAAGAACACCCGUGGCGAAGGCGGCUCUCUGGGACGGUACUGACGCUGAGACGCGAAAGCGUGGGGAGCGAACAGG
rnacentral:rRNA from 1 species